UCUUGUGCAAUGUAACAUCAGAGAUUUUGAGACACAACGUGGCUUUCCCCCCCCCCCCUGCAGGUCGACGGAUCUUGGUGGUAGUAGCAAAUACUCAAAUGAGAACUUUGAGGACUGAAGUGGGGAAAGGUUCCAUGUGAACAGCAGUUGGACAUGGGUUAGUCGAUCCUAAGGCAUAGGGAAGUUCCGUUUGAAAGGCGCCCUCGUGCGCCGUGUGCCGAAAGGGAAGCCGGUUAACAUUCCGGCACCUGGAUGUGGAUUCUCCACGGCAACGUAACUGAACGCGGAGACGUCGGCGGGGGUCCUGGGAAGAGUUCUCUUUUCUUCUUGACAGCCUUCCACCCUGAAAUCGGUUUGUCCGGAGCUAGGGUUCUAUGGCUGGCAGAGCCCCGCACCUUUGCGGGGUCCGGUGCGCCCCCGACGACCCUUGAAAAUCCGCGGGAAGGAAUAGUUUUCACGCCAGGUCGUACUCAUAACCGCAGCAGGUCUCCAAGGUGAACAGCCUCUAGUUGAUAGAACAAUGUAGAUAAGGGAAGUCGGCAAAAUGGAUCCGUAACUUCGGGAUAAGGAUUGGCUCUAAGGGUCGGGCCCGCUGGGCCUUGGGGGAAACCCCUCGGAGCAGGGGGGCACUAGCCGGGCAACCGGCCGGCGCCCCCCAGCACUGGGGUGGGGACGCCCUUGGCAGG
rnacentral:ncRNA from 1 species